CAUAAUUAAAUAUCACAUAAGAAUUGAAACUUCAAGUGAAUAACUUCAUUACAAAAUAAAUUUGCUGCAGAUUUAGUGCAAAAUAGCACAUAAGAAUUUCAUAAUAUAGUGCAUAAUAUCAUUACAUGAUUCCAAAAAGAGCAUAUAUAGUGCAAAAUUCAUUACAUGAUUUCAAAAGAGGUGCAUCAGUCAUUCCAAAAUGGCACAUAAAGUGCAUCACUGAUUACAUAAUGAAAAACAGAAGUCAUUACUAAUUAACAUCAUAACUACUUUGAAAUUUUGUUCCAAGACUUCAUAGCUCUAAAACAGGUUUCAAGCUUUGAUUCAUUUCCCAGGACCUAUAGUUGGUUUUUUAACCCAAUUAGCCUUCUGCCUUUCACUUUGUCUU
rnacentral:lncRNA from 1 species